UUGAUUAGGCUCUAUAUAUGUCAGAACCUAAUUAGGUUCGAGUCGUGGUUCAUAUCGGUUGGGUUUUGUUUGAAUUUUGGUUGAGAUUGGAAUACGGUUUGUGUAAUAUAUGGAAACUGGGAGUUGCGAUGUCAGCUUUGAUCUAUUGGAUCAAAGUGCGGAUUGAGCUAGUUGGACAUCAUCCCCGAGUGAUUUUGGAUGCGUGUGAAUGAAUUUUGGAGAUAAAUAAGUGUUUCGGCGCAAAUUGGGCGCGAAACAAAAAGUAAAGAAAAUUGUCAGAUUCUGACGCUAACUUUGAUUAAGAGAAUUAAAGUGAGCAAAGUAAUAUAAAAUGGUGUGAGAUACCAUUUGAUUGGAUUUAAGGGUGUAAGAUAUAAGUCUGGAAUGACUCGUGUUGGAAUCGGAGCGAAAACUGAAGAAUUGGAAUUUUCUGUAAAGAAUGGACUGAGAAAUUAGCAGAAAAUGCACAGUGUCAGAAAAUUAUGAAAAUUGGAAGAUAUAUCAGGAAUAUGUUUAUGAGGCCAGAUUUCAAGUUUCAUAUUAUUCUGACACUUGUAGAGAGAGAAAUUGAAUCCGAAAGUUAUCGGAUAAAGGUUGCAGUUCGGUACAGUUCGCAGUGACCAAAUGGGGUCGGAACUGAAAUGUUAAAAUUUUUUUGGACUUGUUAAGUAAAAUCGAACAUGCCUGUCAAGUUUGAGCUCAAUCGGACUUUUGGAAGGGACUGUGAAAGGUAUCUAAUCCGUGUGACGAAACGGAGUAUAAGUCGAGGACAUUUUGGUAAAUUGCAUGGCUUAA
rnacentral:lncRNA from 1 species